rnacentral:rRNA from 1 species
UACGGGGGGGGCAAGCGUUGUUCGGAAUUACUGGGCGUAAAGGGCUCGUAGGUGGCCAACUAAGUCAGACGUGAAAUCCCUCAGCUUAACUGGGGAACUGCGUCUGAUACUGGAUGGCUUGAGUUUGGGAGAGGGAUGCGGAAUUCCAGGUGUAGCGGUGAAAUGCUUAGAUAUUGCACAGAACACCAAUUGCGAAGGCAGCUCGCUAAGCUGUAACUGACGCUGAGGCACGAAAGUGUGGGUAGCAAACAGG